UUAGAUUGACAGCUAAUCGCUAGUACAUUCAUGUAUUAGAGGAAAGUCCGGGCAGCAUAGGGAGUGACAGCCGCUAACAGCGGCCGAGGGCGACCUUAGGGAAAGUGCCACAGAAACGAAACUACCUCGCUUACGCGAGGCAAAGAUGAAACGCGCGGUGUAAGAGACCGUAAUCGCGCAUGGUAACAUGCGAGAGAGGUAAACCCUGUCAGCUGCAAGGAGUGAGCUAUACACGUUCCCGCGAUGCUUACGUAUAACCCCGCUCGAGCUUAUGAGCAAUUGUAGGCCUAGAUAGAUGAUUAGCCCUACUUCGGUGGGACAGAACCCGGCUUACGGCAAUCUAACAAU
rnacentral:RNase_P_RNA from 1 species